rnacentral:tRNA from 2 species
GCUCCCUUCGUCUAGCGGUCAGGACACUGGCCUCUCACGCCGGUAACAGGGGUUCGAUUCCCCUAGGGAGCACCA